AUUGAAAAACAUACUGAAUUUAUUCCUUUGUAUUACACAGCAGACGAGGCUCAGGUUGUUGUAUUGGUACUGCUGAAACAUUAAAUGCAUGAGUGACUGAAAAUUCAGUGAUCCCACAGAUGACUUCUAGUCCCAAGAACAAAGGCACUGGGGUAAGACAGUGAAGUCUUUAACUGCUCCAGAAGAAGAGGGUCUGGAAAGAAAAUGUCUCUGGCAAAAAAGUAUCAGGUGAAGCUGUCCCUAUGAAGUUGAUGAAGUAUUGUAAAAACACCAGGAAGGGUGAAGCUGUGUUUUCCUGUGAAGUCAGCAAACUGGAUGGUUGGUGCAGAGUUCAUAUUUACAGACCCCUCAGACAAUCACCAGAGCAGGUGUCACCAGAUGGCCCAAACCAGUGGUGCAGAGAAGGAAGAGGAAUCCACCUGUUCAGGCACAUGAUACUGUAG
rnacentral:lncRNA from 1 species